UCUCUUGUAAGCACCGCACUGUAGGCUCUUGUAUUGUCCAGUCUGCCACUCUGGGUCUUUUGAUGAGAGCAUUUAGUCCACUGGCAUUUAAGGUAAUUAUUGAUAGAUAUGUGUUUAUUGCCAUUUUAAGCCUUGUUUUCCAAUAUAUGCGUUAUUUCUUCUUUGCUCUCCUUCUU